rnacentral:rRNA from 1 species
GUGGGGAAUUUUGGACAAUGGGGGCAACCCUGAUCCAGCAAUGCCGCGUGUGUGAAGAAGGCCUUCGGGUUGUAAAGCACUUUUGGCGGGAACGAAAGGGCCUGGGCUAAUACCCCGGGUCGAUGACGGUACUCGCAGAAUAAGCACCGGCUAACUACGUGCCAGCAGCCGCGGUAAUACGUAGGGUGCAAGCGUUAAUCGGAAUUACUGGGCGUAAAGCGAGCGCAGGCGGUCGUGUAAGACAGAUGUGAAAUCCCCGGGCUCAACCUGGGAACUGCAUUUGUGACUGCACGGCUAGAGUGCGUCAGAGGGGGGUGGAACUCCACGUGUAGCAGUGAAAUGCGUAGAGAUGUGGAAGAACACCGAUGGCGAAGGCAGCCCCCUGGGAUGACACUGACGCUCAUGCUCGAAAGCGUGGGGAGCAAACAGGAUUAGAAACCCCGGUAGUCC